rnacentral:rRNA from 1 species
UUGGUGAGGUAAUGGCUCACCAAGGCGACGACGGGUAGCCGGCCUGAGAGGGCGACCGGCCACACUGGGACUGAGACACGGCCCAGACUCCUACGGGAGGCAGCAGUGGGGAAUAUUGCACAAUGGGCGAAAGCCUGAUGCAGCGACGCCGCGUGAGGGAUGACGGCCUUCGGGUUGUAAACCUCCUUCAGCAGGGAAGAAGCGAAAGUGACGGUACCUGCAGAAGAAGCGCCGGCUAACUACGUGCCAGCAGCCGCGGUAAUACGUAGGGCGCAAGCGUUGUCCGGAAUUAUUGGGCGUAAAGAGCUCGUAGGCGGCUUGUCACGUCGGGUGUGAAAGCCCGGGGCUUAACCCCGGGUCUGCAUUCGAUACGGGCUAGCUAGAGUGUGGUAGGGGAGAUCGGAAUUCCUGGUGUAGCGGUGAAAUGCGCAGAUAUCAGGAGGAACACCGGUGGCGAAGGCGGAUCUCUGGGCCAUUACUGACGCUGAGGAGCGAAAGCGUGGGGAGCGAACAGGAUUAGAUACCCUGGUAGUCCACGCCGUAAACGGUGGGAACUAGGUGUUGGCGACAUUCCACGUCGUCGGUGCCGCAGCUAACGCAUUAAGUUCCCCGCCUGGGGAGUACGG